rnacentral:rRNA from 1 species
GUGGGGAAUAUUGGACAAUGGGGGGAACCCUGAUCCAGCCAUGCCGCGUGUGUGAAGAAGGCCUUUUGGUUGUAAAGCACUUUAAGCGAGGAGGAGGCUUACCUGGUUAAUACCUAGGAUAAGUGGACGUUACUCGCAGAAUAAGCACCGGCUAACUCUGUGCCAGCAGCCGCGGUAAUACAGAGGGUGCGAGCGUUAAUCGGAUUUACUGGGCGUAACGCGCGCGUAGGUGGUUAAUUAAGUCAAAUGUGAAAUCCCCGAGCUUAACUUGGGAAUUGCAUUCGAUACUGGUUAGCUAGAGUAUGGGAGAGGAUGGUAGAAUUCCAGGUGUAGCGGUGAAAUGCGUAGAGAUCUGGAGGAAUACCGAUGGCGAAGGCAGCCAUCUGGCCUAAUACUGACACUGAGGUGCGAAAGCAUGGGGAGCAAACAGGAUUAGAAACCCGUGUAGUCC